UACGUAGGGUGCAAGCGUUGUCCGGAAUUAUUGGGCGUAAAGAGCUCGUAGGCGGUCUGUCGCGUCUGCUGUGAAAACUCAGGGCUUAACCCUGAGCUUGCAGUGGGUACGGGCAGACUAGAGUGCGGUAGGGGAGACUGGAAUUCCUGGUGUAGCGGUGAAAUGCGCAGAUAUCAGGAGGAACACCGGUGGCGAAGGCGGGUCUCUGGGCCGUAACUGAACGCUGGAGG
rnacentral:rRNA from 1 species